CUCUUCCUCCGCCGCAGCUUCCAAGGCGGGGCUCAGCCCUUUCUCCUCCGCCUGAGCGCUCUUACUGCGGGAAUCGCACGCCCACUUUCAACGACCACUUCCUCAACUCUUCAAGCUUAAUUCUGCGAGAGGCCGGGAUCCCACUUUGUGCAGACCGAUUCUUACUUUCUUGGAGCAGAUCGCUUCAUUUUAGCAUCCAGGGGGACACAGCAUCCAGGGGGACAAGUGCCAGAACGUUCCAGAUUAAUGGGAAUAUUCCUAUUUAAAUCAGCAACCUGGAUUUAAGUCCUGCUCCACCAUUUGCUAUCUAUGGGCUGUUUCACGUCCCUGUGCCUGGAUUUCCUCACACAUUAAAAAAAAAAGUGUGUAAUAAUAUAGUGGUACCAGCCACGGGCUUCUGAGGAUGAACGGGACAGUGCAUUGCAAAGCUCUGACAACGGAGCCUGGCACAUACAAAUGCCAUAUGUGUGUAUUUUUGUUUCUUUGUUUUUAAUGUGUAACUGAACUACUUUUUAAGCGCCUCCUGUACGUCAGGGAUGGGGCAGUGAGCGAAACAGUCCAUGCUCCUAGCACAAACAGUUGACAAAUAAUUGACUAAUAAACCUACAGGAGAUGGGAAGCAAUUUGAAGGGUUGCGAGCAGAGAAAGGACGUGGAAUGACAUUUCAGGAGGAUCCCUGUGGCUGUGGUAUGAGGACCAGACUGAAAGCCCUGAGGGUUUCAGCAGGGGGACCAGCGAGAAGCCUGUUGAAAUCAGCCAGCCAAAAGAUAAGACUGUCCGGCCGGGCGUGGUGGCUCGCACCUGUAACCCCAGCACUUUGGAAGGCCGAAGCAGGGGGAUCACCUGAGGUCAGGAGUUCGAGACCAGUCUGACCAGUAUGUUGAAACCCCGUCUCUACUACAAAUACAAAAAUAACCCCAGCUACUUGGGAGGCUGAGGCUGGAGAAUUGCUUGAACCCGGGAGGCGGAGGUUGCAGUGAGCCGAAAUCGCGCCACUGCACUCCAGCCUGGGCGAUAGAGGGAGACUCCAUCUCAAAAAAAAAAAAAAAAAAAAAAAAAGAUAAGGCUCUGUCCAGGGUGGUGGCAGUAGAAGAGUAAAAUGAUCACCUGUAGACACGUUUAAAAGGUGGCUCACGCCUGGAAUCCCAACACUUUGGGAGUCCAAGGUGGGAGGAUCAUUUGAGGUCAGUUCGAGAUCACCAUGCCCAACAUGGUGAAACCCUGUCUCUACUAAAAACACAAAAAUUAGCUGGGCAUGGUGGCGGGCACCUGUAAUCCCAGCUAUUCGGGAGGCUGAGACAGGAGAAUCGCUUGAACCCGGGAGGCAAAGGUUGCAG
rnacentral:lncRNA from 1 species